UCACUGCGCCCGCGGCCGGCGGUGGAGCCGUGAUCUCUUAGGGGCGCUGCCGCCAAGUGCCGGAACACCUGCCCACGCGCCAGCCAGGGUCACCGCUCCCGCUCCCGGCUGAGCGCCACUCAGCGCCCUGUGCCCUGGGCUGGACUUGACCGCUGGCUACGCUUUGGUCUGGCCUGGGGCAGCCAGUGCUGAUCUGGGUGACUGAAACUGAGGGAGCCCACCUUGCUGGGGCAGACAGACGUGACUCACCUUCAGUCUGGUUCUAGGCUGUGACACAAUGAAGACGUAGGUCUGCAAAUAAACAACGUCCAUACCUGAAGGCACCAGCUGCAGGAAGAGAAGGACACUGCCGCCCAGGAAGAGGGCAGCAGAGAUGGAAUAUCUCCGGGGCAAGUACUGCAGCAACAGCCAGGCCAUCACAUAGGCUGGGACUUCAACAGCCGCCGAAAAGAAGCUGUUCACAUAGAUGUCCCCAUGCAAGUUGGGAGUGUCAAGAGAAAGUCCAAAAUAGCCCACUGAUAUGGUCAGCCUGCAACAGGGGACAGAAGAGAGCUGCAGAAGCAGUACCUAUCUCUCCAGACCCACACACCUUGAGAAAACUCAUCUUGACAAGUUCUGAACUGCUCUUGAUGCAGGGAAUGGGCGGGUAGUAGUAGAUUUUACCCUGUGCUUCCUACUACAAAAGUAGUAACUUUCUGUAGCCCCAGCCACUAGUUUAAAUCCUUUGUUAGUAUACCUUCAGAACAUUCCAUAAAAAAGUAUCUCAUCAAAA